AAGCUGCAGAUCAUGAAAGACAAAAUAUCAAUGAAAAUGAUCAAUUCAAUAACUGGAAAUGCCUAUUGUCCUAGUAUAUUCACCAGUAUUAUCUGAUCACUGUUAAUAAUACAGGUGCAACUCAAUAAAAUUAAAAAUUAGUGACCUAAAGUCAAAUUAUAUAGAUACGUGUUAAUCUACUGAUAUAACUCAAUAAAAUUAGUGGCCUAAAGUCAAAUUAUAUAGAUACAUGAAAAUAGUUACCAGAUCUUCUCAAAAUAUUUUUGUUCUGAAAUUAACAGAGAUCAACAGUUUCUUACCUUGUCAUCCACAAAUUUUGCCCAAAAACGUGCCAUGGCUUUCUCAUAAGGAUCCUGAGGUAGCAAAGGAGCUGUUUCGUUCCAUGUCUCAUCGAUAUACUCGAGAAUCACGAGUGAUUCACAGAUUGGUUUGCCUUUGUGUACAAGUACAGGAAUCUUUUUGUGAACAGGAUUAUACUGGAGGAGUUCAGAGCUCUUCUGGGUUAAAUCUUCAAAUAUGGCUUCGUAUUCAAUCCCUUUGAUAUGCAGCGCCCAAACGAUCCUCAAACCAAAUGGACUUGACCAUGUCCUGUAAAGCUUCACUUCAUCUGCCAUGUUUGUUUUAAUUUGCAAUUGAUAUCUGCAAGCUAAUGUUUAUUUAUACACUCACAAUUUUAUUUAUAUUUUAAGCUAAAGAUGAUUUGGACUAAUUACCUUAUCACAACAGUAUGUGUGGAUAUGACAAGUCCAAUGACUUGUUUCACUUCGUCUUUUCUAUUGUAUUCCAAAACUUUGUGCUUUAGUGUAAGAAUUUUAGGAAGAAAUGUGUAGGGAAUUUUGAUUGAUUUUUGUGAGAUGAAUUUACAAAUGGAUGUUCAUCUAUUUAUAUUACUAAUUUAGGGAUAAAAGUGUAAAUAAUUAUUAUUAUUUAAAUUCCUAUAUAUUUACAAAAUAGUCAUAUUACUAGAAUUCUCUACGUGUCUAGAAUUUUCUAAGGACUUUUCAGGUAAAAAAUCUAUGAUAUUCUAGUUUCUACAUGAGAUUCUCACAUUUCUCUAGAACUUUCUACUAUGGACUAGUCUUCUUCCAAUAUAAUCUCUCGCAACUUUGUGUCAUGUGAAACUUACGUGGUGCUUAUGUGGCAUGAUGACGUGACAAGUCGUCAUAUUUAUUCCUAAAAAAUUCUCAAGCAUAUUAAUAAUUAGGGAUAAUUGCACUUUUGACCCUUCAAUUAAUCGCAAAAUUUUAUUUUGGUCCUUAUAUUAUAUGUUAUAUGAUUUAAUAUAUUUAACUUCUUAAAAAAAUAUAAAAUGUACGUUUUAGCCCUUUUAUAAAGAAAAAUAUUAUAUUUGGAUUCAUUUUAGAAGUACAUCAUAAGCUUUAACAUAACUUCUUACGAAUUAAAUGAUGGAAUAAUUAACAAUUUUGUGAAUAUUAACAAGAGAAAGCUAAGUGGUUAUCUGCAGAAUGGAAGAUUGCAAGAUGCUCUGCACCUGUUUCAUAUGAUGCCAUGGAGGAAUGCAGUAUCAUGGAAUUCGAAAAAGGUGUAGCAAAGUUGCCUAUGGGUAUGGAGAGUUGUUACUUUAGCAAUCAUGUAUGUCGUCUGGUAUUUUUCAUGAUACAUAGUCCAGAAAGCAUAUCCAAAAGUACUUGAUCAUACAAACAUCAGUUUAUUGUUAUUUCCAUAACCUAUAAGACACAUACUGCAACAAUUUUCACCAUUUAAUUUGAUGUCGUCUGGUAUUUUUCAUGGAGCAGUUGGUAUUUGGUUACUAGUCUGUCUCGUGGUGGCAAGUGUUGUUUGAUUGCCGGAGCAUCACAAAAGUUUUUCAUCCAUCCUGACAAGAGAGGAAAUUUGUGUGCAUCAAACAACUUCAGAUCGAUUACCUCCUCAAACACAUCAAGAAGAAACGCCAUCCAACCAAGUACAAGAUCCACAUAUCCUAUACUUUCUCCACCAAAAAAUUUCUUCCCUUUCAAUUGCUCUUCAAUGAGUUCUAGAUUUUGCACUGCUGGAACAAGAGCUUCCUUUUUCGCCUCAUAUCCUUUUUCUGUGAAAACACUCGUUACUGAUGGCAGAAGCUGCAGAUCAUGAAAGACAAAUAUCAACGAAAAUAUUGAUCAAUUCAGUAACUGAAAAUGCCUAUUGUCCGACUGAUCACUUUGCUCAAAUGUUAAUAUACAGGUGCAACUCAAUAAAAUUAGUGGUCUAAAGUCAAAUUAUAUAGAUACAUAUGUUAAUGUACUCAAUAAAAUUAGUGGUCUAAAGCCAAAUUAUAUAGAUACAUGAAAAUAGUUACUUGUUCUGAAAUUAACAGAGAUCAAUGGUAUCGAUCUUACCUUGUCAUCCACAAAUUUUGCCCAAAAACGUGCCAUGGCUUUCUCAUAAGGAUCCUGAGGUAGCAAAGGAGUUGUUUCCUUCUUCCAUGUCUCAUCGAUAUACUCAAGAAUUACGAGUGAUUCACAGAUUGGUUUGCCUUGGUGUACAAGUACAGGAACUUUUUUAUGAACAGGAUUAUACUGGAGGAGUUGAGGGCUCUUAUGGCUUAAAUCUUCAAAGAUGGCUUCGUAUUCAAUCCCUUUGAUAUGUAGUGCCCAAACGAUUCUCAAACUAAAUCGGCUUGACCAUGUCCUGUAAAGCUUCACUUCAUCUGCCAUGUUUGUUUUAAUUUGCAACUCAUAUCUGCAAGCUAAUGUUUAUUUAUACACUCACAAAACUGUAUAUUUUACUCUUUAAAUUAAUAAAAAUUACAUAAAUCAUACUGUGUUAAGAGCUACUUAUAUCUUAUUUUUAAUCUUUUCCGAACUACAGAAAUCUCUAAAAUUUAUAGGAUCUCGUAUACAUUAGAAAACCUACGGAUACAUAGAGGAAAUUAUCCAAGAAGGGAUAAGGAUGUAUCGAGAGGAGAUUUUUGUAAUUUCUUUUAAAUAGUAGGAAAUUUUAGAAAUUAUAAUAAAAGUUUAGCUAUUGAACUUAAGCUUAGCAGGACACAUUUUUUAAAAAUUAAAAUCAUGUUCAUGUGACUUAUAUGAGAGAUUAUAAUAUGAAAAUAUAAAUUUACUAUUGCAAAAAAUUAUUUGUCGUAAAGAAAUAUAAGUUAGUUAAUGAUCCACACAAAAUAGGGGCAAAAGUCCAAAUGACCACUCACGUUGCUCUUUACUUUGACAGAGGGGAUGUAUAAUACACAAGAGCGGAGCUAGGUGGGGUUCGUGAGUUUGGACGAACUUAGUAAUUUUUUUGUGGAUUUUAUAUUUGUACUAGAAAAUUAAAUAAAUAUAUAUGUAUAUUAACUUAUGAAUCCAUAUUAAAAUUGAUUGAUGGCUCAGUUGCAAGGAAAGGGCCAUGAAAAUGCUUUCUACGCUAGAGUUAUGGAUUCAAACCCUACUAUUAAUGAAAUAUUUCUCAAAUUUAGAACCCAAAACUUCUAAUCAUGACUCUAUCUUAAUAGACUAAUGUUUAUGUCUACGUCUAAAAUUCAAAUCUUUGGUAUUUUCUUCCUCAAAUAUUUUAAAAUUCAAGCCAAACUCUGAUGUCAGCCAUUGCGUUACAAAGCCUGGAAAUUAUAAUUUCUUACAUUUUAAGCUAAAGUUGAUUUGUAGUUUGGACUAAUUACCUUUAUGACAACAGUGUGUGUGGAAAUGAGAAGUCCAAUGAAUUGUUUCACUUCGUCUUUUCUAUUGACUUGGUCUUUGCUCUUGUUUUCAUCUGGUAAUUCCAAAACUUUGUGCUCACAUCUAUUUAUAUACUAACUUAGGAGUUAAAAUUGGAAAAAAUGGUCAAAAACCCCCCCUAAUCUAUAGCCGGAUUCCCAACUACACACUCAUACUUUACGGGGGUCCUAUUACCCCCCUGAACAUUUUUUUUUACUAAUUUUCUCACCCUUAUUUGCUGACGUGUCCACAUAAAUCAGAUAUAAUUAAAUGUUUGUUUACACGCGCUGCCACAUAAUGACUGGACCCCAGAACCCACGAAUUUCCUUUAAUCUUUUCAUUUUCCUCUUUCUUUCUCUAAACCCUAACCUUUUUUCAAUCUGACCAAAUUCACCCCAUUCUCUUCGAUCUGAGAUUUCGUUCCAAUCGAAGUUUGCUGGGAAGGUUGGGGAAGGUUCGUUUAGCUUUUUUCGUUUGUUGGGUCGAAGUUUUCUCUAAGUAAAGGUUAGUUCUUUUAGUUCUUUACUAGCGAUUUUGAACGAUAUUGAUUAUUGUGUUUGAUUAGGGUUAUGAAAUUGACAAAAAAAUGAAGAGCAAUAACUGGGUUUUGGUAUAAUAGCAUUCCAUUGAAGAAAUUUUUUGAACCAUAACUAUGAAAUCAGAGAAAUUACAAGUCCUAAAGCUUCAAGCUUUUUCGAAAUUGAAACUACAGUUGAAUGCUUUGACAAGUAAAUUCAAGUUUUAAGCUGAUUUGGGAGAGAAUGAAGGAAUAUACCGUUGGAGAUUUGUCAACUAUUAGAAGAAUUGAGAAAAAAAGGAAGAAAAAGAGAGUUUGAUUUUGGGAGAGAUGAGAUUAUACCAUUGGAGAUUUAAUAUAGCUGAUUUGGACUCACAUGUGUAGUUUUCUUCAGCUUUUAACGUUUUAUUUUCUGUUCUUACGCGCCUAAGGGAGUUGAUCUCACCUUCUUGGACAUGUCAGCAAAUAAGGGUGAGAAAAUUAGUAAAAAAAAAUGUUCAGGGGGGUAAUAGGACCCCCAUAAAGUAUGAAUGUGUAAUUGGGAAUCCGGCUAUAGGUUGAAGGGGCUUUUGGUCAUUUUCUCGUUAAAAUAGAAAUAAUAAUUAUAAUAUAAGUUUUACAUAUAUACAAAGUAGUCAUUUUCUUAGAACUCUCUAAGUAACCUGAGAAAUUUCCACAUUCUCUAGAAUUUUCUACUAUGGACUAGCCUUUUCUUAUAAAAAAAAAACUCAAAUAUUAUGUGGCAUGAUGACAUAGCGGAUCCUCAUAUUUAUUCCUAAAAAAUUCUCAAGCAUAUUCACGAUUAGGGAUAAUAGCACUUUUGACCCUUUAAUUAAAUUAAUGGUAAAAUUUUAUUUUGAUCCUUAUAUUAUAUUAUAUCCGUUCACUUUACUUGUCCCUUAUUUCAAAAAUAUAUUUUUCAUUUUUACUUGUCUCUUUUAAUAUAUUAAGAAAAGACAAUAAUUUUUUUUUCAUGUUUUACCCAUAACAUUAAAUACUUAUUUCCCAAAUCAUUUUUUAAGACAUCAUUUAAUAGGGAAUAAUUUGAUAAAAUACUUAGGAGUCGUUUGAUAGAGUGUAUUAGGAAAUAUAAUGCAUGCAUUAGGUGUGUGUAUUAGUAGUACCUUGUUUGGUACACUUUUUCUUGCCAUGUAUACAUUCCAUUGUGUAUUAAGUUGUGUAUUACUAAUACCAAGUAAUUCUAGGUAUUAGUAAUACAUAGCAUUUAACACUUGCAUUAAGAUUAAAUAAUUACAAAACUACCCUCAUAGCCUUUUUAAAACAUUUCCUAACAUUUUCUCUUCUUUUCAUUUUCUUUCUUGUCAUAUGUGUUUAUUUUUAUUUGUUUUUCAAUGUCUUUUAAUUUGUUGAUGUCUUAAUGGACUUUAUGGCCUCUUAAAUAUCUUUUUUUUUUUAAUAAUCUAAUUUCAACAUACUUUAAUAAAAAAAAUUACUAUUGUGGCGAUAAAUUUGAUAAAAAAAAUUCUUUGCCAAACUUUUCACAAAAAUAUUUUGACUCAAAUAGUACAACUAUUUAAUAUUAUUUUUGAAAAGAAGAAGAGGAGUUAAUGAUGUUUCAGCAAAGAACUUUGUUGCAAAGAAGUGUAAAAAUAAAUAAAGUGUGAAGGAUAUUUUUGUAAACAUAUAUUUUUAAAUAGAAAUUAUGCAAGAUUUGUUAUUUCUAAUACAUCAAAUCAAACAGUGUAUAAAAAUAAUGCUUGCAUAACUAAUGCAAGCAUUAAUAAUACAAGCACUACUAAUGCAAGCAUUAUUAAUGCAUCCUAUUUUGCAUUAUUCUUAUACACUCUACCAAACGAUCCCUUUUAUAUCAUUAAUUAUUUCUCAAUUGAUAUGUCAAGUCAAACUGUGACAAAUAAAAGUGAAUAGAGAAAGUAUAAUUUAAUAUAUUUAACUUUCUUAAAAAAAUAUAAAUGUACGUAUUAGUCCUUUUAUAAAGAAAAAUAUAUAUUUUUGGAUUCAUUUUAGAAGUAUACAUCAUAAGCUUAUUACCAUAACUUCUUACUAAUUAAAUUAUAGGAAUAAUUAACAAUUUUGUGAAUAUUCAGGAUAAAAAAUGUAAAUUUCAUUUAAUCGAAGGUUAUUAAAUAAAUAUAGUACAAUAUCGCAAGAAUUAAUACAUAUACGAUGUCAUAUAUGAUGUGAAUUGUCAUGUUAAACACACGUGUGUAUACUCAUCCAAAUUAUUACUCUUUCCUUUUUUCUUUCCCUGGUUGAAAUCAACAUUUACUUAUUAAGUAGUAGUAUUAUAUUUAUGUAUAGAAGGCUCAAAUGGGCUUCACAUAUUUUCUUUAGGAACACAAAUUGUACAAUUGGAACUCAAAAAUUACUAGAUCUUUCAAGAAAGGUGAUAUUGAAGGGGCACGCAAGCUGUUUGAUUUCUGGGUAUGUAAGAAAUGGGAUGAUAUAGCUAGUGCUCGAGAGUUGUUUGAGCAUAUGCCUUGAAAAGAUGAAACCUCAUGAAACGGUAUCAUUUCCAGAUAUCAAAACGAUUUUAUAUGUCUAGAUGUUGCAAAAUAAUUACAAGCAAUGUGGUCUCAUUAUGUGGACUUCUUGCUUUGUAUGGUUGGGGAAGAGCUUUGCAUGCCAGUGUAACUAAGAGUCGCUUUGAAAAUGCUACGAGGAGUAUUAUUUUCUAAAUUAUAAAGAGAUACAAGGAAAUGUUGCAUUCAUUAUUGGUAUAAAAUUGCAAUUUUUCCAGUAUUACAAUUGCCGUUCAAAACUAAUACUACUAUUACAAUUUGCACUUUAGAUAAUUUUACCAUUACAAUUUUUUUACCAAUAUCAGGCACAACGAAAAAAGGUUUAGCAAAGUUGCCUAUGGAUAUGGAGAGUUGUUACUUUAGCAAUCAUUUGAAAAAAGCGGAAUAGGAGAGCAUUUGAAGGGGUAAACGAGACUUUGUAAAAAUACAAAGUUGAUAUAGGCUCGAUCUCUUCUUUAGUAUACAACAUUUUCCUCAGUUAUUAAUAAAAAUUAAAGAUAUUUAGCCAGGUAAAGCUUCUAUUAUUCCUGAUACAUGACACAUAGUCCAGAAAGCAUAUCCAAAAGUACUUUGAUCAUACAAACAAUUCCACAAUCAGCUUGUUGUUAUUUCCAUAAACUAUAAUAAGACACAUACUGCAGCAAUUUCACCAUUUAAUUUGCUGUCUGAAAUUUUUCAUGAAACAGUUGGAAUCUGGUUACUAGUUUGUCUCGUGGUGGCAAGUGUUGUUUGAUUGCCGGAGCAUCACAAAAGUUUUUCAUCCAUCCUGAUAAGAGCGGAAAUUUGUGUGCAUCAAACAACUUCAGAUCGAUUACCUCCUCAAACACAUCAAGCAGAUACGCCACCCAACCAAGUGCAAGAUCCACAUAUCCUAUACUUUCUCCACCAAAAAAUUUCUUCUCUUUCAAUUGCUCUUCAAUGAUUUCUAGGUUUUGCACGGCUGGAACAAGAGCUUCCUUUUUUGCCUCAUAUCCUUUUUCUGUGAAAACACUCCAUACUGAUGGCAGAAGCUGCAGAUCAUGAAAGACAAAUAUCAACGAAAAUGAUCAAUUCAAUAACUGAAAAUGCCUAUUGUCCGAUUGAUCACUUUGCUCAAAUGUUAAUAUACAGGUACAACUCAAUAAAAUUAGUGGCCUAAAGUCAAAUUAUAUAGAUACAAGAAAAUAGUUAACAUAAAUUUUAUUUUUGAGCUGAGAUCAAUGGUAUCGAUUUUACCUUGUCGUCCACAAAUUUUGCCCAAAAACGGGCCAUGGCUUUCUCAUAAGGAUCCUGAGGUAGCAAAGGAGUUGUUUCCUUCCAUGUCUCAUCGAUAUACUCGAGAAUCACCAGUGAUUCACAGAUUGGUUUGCCUUUGUGUACAAGUACAGGAAUCUUUUUGUGAACAGGAUUAUACUGGAGGAGUUGAGGGCUCUUCUGGCUU
rnacentral:lncRNA from 1 species